ACAUUGUUUGUAGGCUCAGAUGCUGAUGACAUGGAGCACGACGAAUUGGAAGACUCAAGUCAAAAUACCUAUGUCGACCAUGAUCCAUUGGACUAUGUCUACUCAAACCUCCCAGACCACACACACAUCCUGAAGCACACCGCAAAUUGCAAUCAGUGCAAGGCCAAGAAGUUUGUGUCCGAGGCCCCGGGAUUCUGCUGCCGCAGUGGGCAGAUCCAACUAAAGCAACCGGAGCCCAUCCCGGAGCUAAUGAGGCUUUGGUCUAGCAUGGAUGCGGACUCAAGGCAUUUUCGGGAGAACAUACAGUUCUUCAAUGGCCACUUCUCCUUCACAACCCUCGGAGUCAGCCUUGAUGAAAGCUACACAAACGUGAAGUCUGGGGUGUACACGUUCCGGGCGCAUGGCACCAUCUACCACAAAGUUCAUUCCUUCGGGCCAACGUCACGUCCAGAUCAUCUACAGUUGUACUUCUACGACGACGACCCAGGCCUAACCCAUCGCAAGGCUGCCACCGAGCAAUUAGACCAGGAUGUCGUCACAAAGUUAGUGGACAUACUCAGGGAGAACCCGUACUCCUAA
rnacentral:rRNA from 1 species